GACGAACGCUGGCGGCGUGCUUAACACAUGCAAGUCGAACGAUGAAGCCCAGCUUGCUGGGUGGAUUAGUGGCGAACGGGUGAGUAACACGUGAGUAACCUGCCCCUGACUCUGGGAUAAGCGUUGGAAACGACGUCUAAUACUGGAUAUGACCACUGGUCGCAUGGCCUGGUGGUGGAAAGAUUUUUUGGUUGGGGAUGGACUCGCGGUCUAUCAGCUUGUUGGUGGGGUAAUGGCUCACCAAGGCGACGACGGGUAGCCGGCCUGAGAGGGUGACCGGCCACACUGGGACUGAGACACGGCCCAGACUCCUACGGGAGGCAGCAGUGGGGAAUAUUGCACAAUGGGCGAAAGCCUGAUGCAGCAACGCCGCGUGAGGGAUGACGGCCUUCGGGUUGUAAACCUCUUUUAGUAGGGAAGAAGCGAAAGUGACGGUACCUGCAGAAAAAGCACCGGCUAACUACGUGCCAGCCGCCGCCGUAA
rnacentral:rRNA from 1 species